rnacentral:rRNA from 1 species
AUUGAACGCUGGCGGCAGGCCUAACACAUGCAAGUCGAACGAGUGGCGGACGGGUGAGUAAUGUCUGGGAAACUGCCUGAUGGAGGGGGAUAACUACUGGAAACGGUAGCUAAUACCGCAUACCAUCAGAUGUGCCCAGGUGGGAUUAGCUAGUUGGGGGGGUAACGGCUCACCAAGGCGACGAUCCCUAGCUGGUUUGAGAGGCUGACCGGCCACAUUGGAAUGGAAACACGGUCCAGACUCCUACGGGAGGCAGCAGUGGGAAAUAUUGGACAAUGGGCGAAGGCCUAAUGCAGCCAUGCCGCGUGUAUGAAGAAGGCCUUCGGGUUGUAAAGUACUUUCAGCGGGGAGGCGUUACCCGCAGAAGAAGCACCGGCUAACUCCGUGCCAGCAGCCGCGGUAAUUC